ensembl:lncRNA
GAUAGCAAAGUUUCUCAAAUGCAUUCUACGGCUGGAAGUAAAUAGGGUCAUUUAUGUAAAGCAAGGACGUCAGGUUUUUUUAGAGUUAUAAGCACAUAAUUUUAGCCUAUUAUUUUCUCUGUAAUCAAACAAAUUUUAACAGGCAUAAAAUUGUGCUACAAAUGCAUUUCAUCCUAAUUUAAAUGGUUACUUCUUUUCAUUUUUUUAUUUAUAAUGCUGAAAAUUAUUCCAGAGAAUUAUCAAGUUAAACAAUUCGUUUGGAUUAUAAGCCACUUGACAUUGUUUUUUUUAAAAUCUUCUCAUAUGGGAAAAAGAUAUCAAGAUUAAUGUAUCAAAAAUUUAUUGCAUACUUUAAAAUAUAAAACCAUUUUUUAAAAUCUUGAUGCACAAAUAAAGUUUCUAUUCUAGUAAAAACAGAAACUGUGAUUCAUUUUCAAAUAGAAAUGUUUCCAAGCCGUUAUCCUUAGCCAAUAGCUCCUGAUCUAGUUCUCUGCAGCAACACAUGGAAUUCUCAAGACAACCUUGAAUUGAUAGCAGGUUACCUAGCAUGAUUAUAAACUCUUAACCACAGAGAAUCUCCAUUUUACAAACAGGUCCUGUUCCCCAAAUCUGGUUGUUAGUAAAAUAUACAGAAGGCAAUAUAAUAAUAAAGUUACAAAUGGACUGGAUUUCAGACUUGCUGUUGUUCAUUCCAGAGACCAGCCAUGGAACCUAUUUAUAACAUUGUUUCUAUGAGAAGAGGAAUUCCAAGUGUUACUUCAGAAGUAAGUAUCUUUUCAUCCUUCCUCUGAACUCCUGGAAGUUUCCCAGUAGAGGGAAUCCAACACCCUCACCCCCAGUCAGCCCUAGGAAGGUGCUGUUCCAGCCCUGUUUCUGCCAAAAUCCAGACUAGUUGUAAUCUAUGGGGUCCAGACGCCUGCCUUCCCCGCUUCCACCCUUCCAGAGCUCACCAGCUCGGGUGGUAGCUAGCCGGCACCGUGCCUCCCUGUACAGGAAGUCCUUGCUUUGCUGUCCAUCAGGGCAGGCACAUUCCUUUUUAUAAAGGAGAUUAUACUAAGUGUUAGAAUCGCAGGACCUCACUGUGAAUAGUGGGCUUUCAGUAGAUUUGUGUGUAUUUUUUCUUGAGCGUUAAAGAAUAUCGCUAAAUUGGCGGCCUGUUUCGGUUCUGCCAGUCUCUUCAUCUGCUAUCCAUCCUAUGCAGUCCCUCCAUCCCACACCAAGUGUCUCCUUUCUCAUGUACAAAUCUGAUCAGGUUACUCUGCCAAAAACACUCUGAAAGCUCCCCAGAGCCAGAAGGAAGAAGCCCAAACCCGUUGGCAUGAAAUGCAGUCUGUCCCCAGCUUAAUGCAUGAGUUCCACCUUCCAUCGUACCCCACUCAGGCACCCUGCCCUCCACCCAAACCACGCCUCCCUCCAGUCCUUAAUCACUGAAAACUUCUCUGCACCUGCUUAUGUCCACUUGCAAAAUCACUCCUCCUCUUGGAGCAGUGGAAGGGUGCCGUGGCCUAGCAGUUGGUACCUAGUAGCAUGAAUGGGAUCGUAUAUUGCUAGGCUUUGUGUACAUAAUUCUCGCCUACAAACUUGGGCAGCUUGAAAACAGGGACUUCUUUGUAUACCUUUUUAAUAUGUUCAUUCUCCAACACAUAAAUACAAUGUGAGUAUUGUUUGUGUAUAGACCCAGUGCACGUGUAUUGAGCACCUACAGCGUCCCUGGCCCUGUGCAGUAAUAUGCAGGAAGCUCUGUGUAUAGGGGGAUGAUGGGAACUGUGAAAAUACACAUGCAGAGAAGGAGCUUGACCGAGAUCCUGUGGAGCACCAGGGUCUGCAGUAAACACUUUACGUGGGUCCCAUUUAAUCUUCAUAAAAACUCAGUGAGGCAGGUUUUAUAGGCUCAAAAAGGACAAGUAAUACACCUGAGGCCACACAGCAUAUAAGCUCAGUGGAUUAUGAACCACAACAAAAAAAAAGAAAGCUGUAGAAUCCAAUCAGCAAAUUACCAAGGUGUAUUCGUUUUCUGUUGCUGCAUAACAUAUGACCAUAAAGCUAGCAGCUCAAAUCAACACCCAUUCAUCAUCUCACAGUUCAGUCAGUCAUUAACUCCACAUGGAAUCUAAAAUAUGACACAAGUGGACUUACCUACGAAACAGAAACAGACUCACAGACAUAGAGAACAGACUCGCGGUUGCCAAGGGGUAGGUGGGGGACGGAGGGAUUGGGAGUUCGGGAUUAGCAGAUGCAAACUAUUGUGUAUAGAAUGGAUAAAAAAACAAGGUCCUACUGUAUAGCACAGGGAACUAUAUUCAGUAUCCUAUGAUGAGUCAUAAUGGAAAAGAAUAUGAAAAAGUGUAUAUAUAUGUAUAACUGAAUCACUUUGCUGUUUAGCAGUAAUUAACAGAACACUGUAAAUCAACUAUACUUGAAUAAAAUUAAUUUUAAAAUUAACAAAAAAGAAAUCCACAUGGGCUCAGCUGGCUUCUCUACUUAGGGCCUCACAGGCCAAAACCAAGGUGUCAACCAACCGAACUCUUAGCUGCUCCAAUGAUUCUUCAGUUGUUGACAGAAUCCACUUCCUUGUGGCUAGAGUUCUGAGGUCCCCAUUUUCUUGCUGGCUGUCAUCUGGGGACCAGUCUAACCUUCUACAGGCCACAUACAUUUCUCACCACUUGGCUGUUCCAUCUUCAAGCCAGCAAUGGUGUGUGCAAUCCUUUUCAUGCUUAGAACCUCCCUUGAUGCCUCCUUUUGCCGUCCUCUCUGCCACCAGGUGGAGAAAAUUCUCACUUUCCAAGGCUCACUUGAUUAGUCCCACUUCUAUCAUCUCCCCUUUUGAAGUCGACUGUGCUGUAGGCAUAACACAGUCGGUGGUGGGGGUCACGAUUGCAGGCAUUUGGGCCUUGAGCUUUUGGACCAUUUGUAGAAAUUCCACCUCCCACACAACCUAAAAGUAGAGGUGGCAAAGGGUUAUGGAGAUGUGGCUUGAAAAACACUUAAAUGUAUCUAAUUUUAUAGUUCGUGGCUCAGGGUUCCGUUCUUUACCGAUGAAAAGCCUGAUAAAUGAUGGUACUAUCAGCCAGUGGAUUCACCUUCAGCAGCUGUGAGUUCACGAAUCACAACUCAGGUUUGUGGUUUUCUCCGCGGCAUCAAGGUUGAAUGGGCCUGAAAUUAGAUUCAACUCAUCCUUAGUAUAUAAAAGAGAACUAGAUCAUCGCUGCUCUUUUUAUUUGUUUGAAGGAUUGGUAUUCCUUCCCAUGAAGUUAUGUUCCGGAUAAUGAUGUGAGUACAAAUCAGAACAGAGCCGAAAGCAAAGAAAGCCAUUCACAGCCCGGAGCUGCUGAUCAGUUGCUGGCUUUCAGUCUCCAGAGAGAAGGGGAGGGGCCUCUGGAUGCCCUGAGUGUUCGCCUUGGGAAGGUAACCAGAGAUUAAAGCCAUAACUGGAGGCUGUUGAGGAUGCUCAAUUCCUUGUUCAGAUCCUGAUUUAAGUUCUCUUAUGAAAAAUAAUUACUAUCAAGGCAAACCCCAUACCUUCCUAAGAGCUGUUUUUGUUUAACAUAGAUUUUAUAAAUGAGAAACUCAAGCAUAUUCUCUCCAGUCAGUAAGAGGUAAUGAGCACAGUGAGCUAAGGAUAAUCUGUUUAAACAAACGGGAUUUUCAUGGAUGCUAGACUUGAAAACACGAUCCAGAUCAAGGACAUGGUUAAUACUCAGUCACUGUGCCUUAGCCCAAGGAUAAACUUCCAGACUUGAAGACAAUGAAAUAGCUCCAAGGGGAUGACCAAAUUCUCAAUGAUGAAGGAGUAGCCGACUAGCUUUGCUUUGCUUUUUCAGUAUUGCUGUGUGUUGUAAUGUUGUAAUGCUUGUGGAUAAAUGUUGACGUUGUGUGGUUUUAAGUUACAAGGAAUUCAGUAAUGUGUUAUCCUUGUCUACAUCUUCAAAAGAAGUGUGAGAAGGGAAAAAAGAGAGCUCUGUUAACUCAGUUACUACCAGAGCUCUGAAUAUCUGUGGUUUCCCCAAUGAGUCAAUUUACAUACUUUCCCCCAUUGCCAUCUGGGGACAACGUGGAUAGGAAUUUGGGGGUUAUCAUCAAAACAUCUAAUUACUCAUUUAAGCAUUGCUAGGGGUGGGAAAGAAGGAACACAUAGCACAUGCUGCAAGCCUUUGGAAGGUAUAUUAAGACAUUUAAGACUGAGCCAAGGUCUAGUCCAGCAUUGUCCAAUAGAAAUAUAAUGCAGGUGACAUGUAAUUUUAAAUUUUCUAGUAGCACAUUUUAAAAAGAGAUAAAUGAAUUUAAUAGUAAUAAUGCAUUUAAUGAAGUAUAUCUAAAAUAUUAACAUUUCAACAUGUAAUUAAUAUAAAAUUAUUAAUGAUGUUUUUCAUUAUCUGAUACUAAGUCUUCAAUAUGCAGUGUGUAUUUUAUGCUUCCAGCACAUCUCAGUUCAGAACGGCCACAUUUCAAAUAGCCACAGGGGGCUGGCGCUACAUAUUGUACAGCAGUGGAAUCAAUAGGCCUGGGUCAUGCUUAGACACCACAAAAGGGAAUGAAGAAGCAGCUGUGAGUGGCUAACCUGGGAAGGUGCAAAAUUAGCUUGCUUCCUCCAGGCAACUCCAGAGUCUUGGAAGAAAUUUCUCCAAGAGAGCCCAAUGUCAAAAACUAAGCAACAUUGCAGAUAGCCGGUCUGUGGUGAUUCCAGAUUUGACUUUCAGGAGCUUAAGGUUGGCAGUCUGGUUGCAAGGGGAGCUAUCUUUGCACUGUGAAGACACUGUCUCCACAGGGAUUCUGUUUGCUAGGGAUGGCUUGGGAGAGAUCUAAUGCAGAUUAUGGGGAGAUAAGCCAAAUCACACCUGCAACCUCCUCCUUAGAGCUGAGGUUGCCCCAGACAGUGACGCUGAAGGUGUCCCACGUUGAACGUCAUAUAAUGUGGGCAGAAGCAAACGUGGGAAUCGCUGGCAACCAGCAUCCAGUGUGAAGCGCUGGAUCUAGGACCUUGGAAGAUCAUCACAGAACAGGGCGAGGGGGAUGGGGAAUGGGGUGAUUUAUCAGGAACUGCCAGAAACUGGAGGGUGGCGAUGAGACUGGACAACUGGGAGGGUAAGGCCACCGCAGAGGAAGGAACUCCGCGGGGUCACAGGGGGUCACCUGGGGGAGAGCCUCUUUGACGUUGGGAGGAAGGCAGAGGCUGUGGGAGACACAGCUGUUUGUUUUUUCUGCUGCAAAGAGAAUAACAAAAUGCGAUCAGGAGAGCUAAUAGACUACAGAUGCAGGACUUCUGGCUGAGCGCUCAGACCGGUGAAAGGCUUUGAACUGGAACCAGCCCUCUCAUUUUCAGCAGUGCGUGUGGCCCGUGAAAAAGAAAGAGUGAAGUAAAACAAGAGACCCACCAGAGAUAAUUAUGAGUUACUCCCAGCCGGUGAAAUAACAGAGGUUAUAUUGGGCUGGGGGAAAAGUAGGGGUUUGAUCAUGAAAGGACUUAUGUUCAAUGCUAAGGAAUCUGAUCAACAGUGGGGGAAGCUAUUCAAGAGUUACAUGCCAAAAAGUGUAUGCUUUGGUAUGAACUUUAGAAAGCUCUUUCUGCCUAUUUAAGGGUAGCAGGUCUGGGGGCAGGUGCUAAUGUGGAGAGUGUUCCAAGGACGAAGGUGAGAAAUGGUAGCGCCUGAAGCCAGGGUUUAGAUGUCAUAUGGAGAGAGGUGCAGCUGGUGGGCAGGGGGAAGCAAUAGGGGCGAAGACAGGAGUCUGGGCUGACACCUACCCCAACACCCAGAUGGGGGCACCUGGAUGGGUGCCGGUGUUGCCACCGCCACCGCCGGAACAGAAAGGACUGUGAACUUUCCACGGGGUGACAUCAGAGGGGAGGCUUCUGAUAGGCAGCUGUGGAUCUAAAGGUGGGUGAAGAUUUGGAGGUUACCAGCAAAUAGCUGUGAGCCCAUGAGGCGAUCGUAUUACAUGGGCCGCCAACUAAGAAAGCUGAUCCAAAUUAUUAAACACCACUUCUGUUAAGUUAAUUUUAUUAUAUUUUGUAUGUAAUAGAACGAGUGGUGAUUGGGGGACGUUUAUAAACAAUACAAUUGGUCGUGUGUUUCCAGCC